rnacentral:rRNA from 1 species
AUUGAACGCUGGCGGCAUGCUUUACACAUGCAAGUCGAACGGUAACAGGGUGCUUGCACCGCUGACGAGUGGCGAACGGGUGAGUAAUGCGUCGGAACGCACCGAGUAAUGGGGGAUAACGCAGCGAAAGCUGUGCUAAUACCGCAUACGCUCUGAGGAGGAAAGCGGGGGACCUUCGGGCCUCGCGUUAUUCGAGCGGCCGACGUCUGAUUAGCUAGUAGGUGAGGUAAGAGCUCACCUAGGCGACGAUCAGUAGCGGGUCUGAGAGGAUGAACCGCCACACGGGGACUGGGACACGGCCCAGACUCCUACGGGAGGCAGCAGUGGGGAAUUUUGGACAGUGGGCGCAAGCCUGUUCCAGCCAUGCCGCGUGUCUGAAGAAGGCCUUCGGGUUGUAAAGGACUUUUGUCAGGGAGGAAAUCCUUAGCGCUAAUACCGUUGAGGGAUGACAGUACCUGAAGAAUAAGCACCGGCUAACUACGUGCCAGCCGCCGCAGUAA